AGUCAUAUGCUUGUCUCAAAGAUUAAGCCAUGCAUGUAUAAGUUCACACCUUUAUAUGGUGAAACCGCGAAUGGCUCAUUAAAUCAGCUAUGGUUCCUUAGAUCUUACAAUCCUACUUGGAUAACUGUGGUAAUUCUAGAGCUAAUACAUGCCAACUAAUCCCUGACUUUAUAGGAAGGGUGGAUUUAUUAGAACAAAACCAACCGGCUCUGCCGUUGGCUUGAUGACUCUGGAUAACUUUUCUGAUCGCACGGCCUAGCGCCAGCGACGUAUCUUUCAAAUGUCUGCCCUAUCAACUAUCGAUGGUAGGUGAUAUGCCUACCAUGGUGAUGACGGGUAACGGGGAAUCAGGGUUCGAUUCCGGAGAGGGAGCCUUAGAAAUGGCUACCACAUCUAAGGAAGGCAGCAGGCGCGCAAAUUACCCACUCUCAGCUCGAGGAGGUAGUGACGAAAAAUAACGGGAUGGGUCUCGAAUGAGGCUUCAUCAUUGGAAUGAGUACAAUUUAAAUCCUUUAACGAGGAACUAUUGGAGGGCAAGU
rnacentral:rRNA from 1 species